rnacentral:sRNA from 1 species
AGACGCAGGCCCUCAUGGCCAGGGGAGGGUGCACCUGGCGGCCCCCCUGAGCGACGCUCCCCAUGAUGACGCCCACGGGAACUUCCAGUACGACCAUGAGGCUUUCCUGGGACGGGAAGUGGCCAAAGAAUUCGACCAACUCACCCCAGAGGAAAGCCAGGCCCGUCUGGGGUGAAGAAUUUCAUGACGUGGAGGAUGCAGAGACCUACAAAAAGAUGCUGGC